rnacentral:rRNA from 1 species
UACGUAGGGUGCAAGCGUUGUCCGGAAUUAUUGGGCGUAAAGAGCUCGUAGGCGGUCUGUCGCGUCGGCUGUGAAAUCCCGGAGCUCAACUCCGGGUCUACAGUCGAUACGGGCAGACUGGAGUUCGGCAGGGGAGACUGGAAUUCCUGGUGUAGCGGUGAAAUGCGCAGAUAUCAGGAGGAACACCGGUGGCGAAGGCGGGGCUCUGGGCCGAUACUGACGCUGAGGAGCGAAAGCGUGGGGAGCGAACAGG